CCACAUCACGUUGAAACACCAGCUCCUGUACGAUCAUCGAAGUUAAGCAACGUCGAGUCUGGUCAGUAUCUAGAUGGAUGACCGCUUGGGAAUACCCGCUGCUGUAAG